AAAUCAUCAAUGAAUAUCUGCCUCUUCCAUUGUACCCUCCCCGAAAAGAAGAGACGGCAACCUUGAAGAGUCCACAUGACGACUGGGACACAAACCAAUAUGUGUCGGCCAUUCUUCCUCCUGUAGGACUUGUCCUGAUGUCUGUACUGCUUCUGGUGGCUUUCUGCACCUGGAGGAGAAGAUCGAACAAGACGGAACAAUGUAGAGACGACAUUCAGCUAAACUCAUUUGCGAUGGACGUGGCAUGCAACCCCCAACCACCAGGUGCAAUGACAGGAAAUC